CUAUGCUCGAACCAGCGGUCCCCUCUUUGGGGCCCAAAGCACCAGUGAUGGCCAGGGUUUUCCUGGCUUGAACUGGCGCCCGGCUCAGCCUUCGGGCUAUGGCCGGGGCCCCGGUGAACUGUCCGGUUCACCGGAGGGGUGGCCCACCACCUCGAUCCCGUCCCUCGAGGAACGACUCGAUGA
rnacentral:ncRNA from 1 species